rnacentral:rRNA from 1 species
UCGGGGUAGUGGCGCACGGGUGCGUAACGCGUGGGAAUCUACCCAAAGGUACGGAAUAACUCAGGGAAACUUGUGCUAAUACCGUAUAAUGUCUUCGGACCAAAGAUUUAUCGCCUUUGGAUGAGCCCGCGUUGGAUUAGCUUGUUGGUGGGUAAUGGCCUACCAAGGCGACGAUCUAUAGCUGGUCUGAGAGGAUGAUCAGCCACACUGGGACUGAGACACGGCCCAG